AAUAGGUACAAUACCUAUCAAACAAAUAUUAUUAAAGAAAAUGUUUGAUGCAUAUGUAAUUAUUUUACCAUAAUAUGAUAUAUAUAUUGCUGACUUAGCAACACUAUCAAUCAAACUCCGCUCAGAAUCGUUUUUUCAUUAGCAAUAAGUAAUCGUUACGUACAGAUAUAGGUAAAUACCAGGUAGGUAGGUACAUUCAAUUUUCCCUCUACUACCUUCCCAACUUCUCACCCACACAGUGGCUUCACCCAUCCUCAUUAUUCUAGGGCAGCUUUUAUUAUAUUAAUCUAUAUUUAUGGUUAUAUAGGUAUCCAAUAUUUUGUCAUUUUGCAUUUAAUAAUUGUUUUUAAAAUAUUACAUUAAUAAUAAUAGUACAAUAAUUUUAAUAUAGUCUAUUGAAAUACCUACUUAAUAAAACC